UACGUAGGGUGCAAGCGUUAAUCGGAAUUACUGGGCGUAAAGCGUGCGCAGGCGGCUUUGCAAGACAGAUGUGAAAUCCCCGGGCUCAACCUGGGAACUGCAUUUGUGACUGCAUGGCUAGAGUACGGUAGAGGGGGAUGGAAUUCCUGGUGUAGCGGUGAAAUGCGCAGAUUUCGAGAAGAACGCUCGCUGCGAAAGCGAAGCUCUGGCCAGAUUCUGACGCUGAGGCACGAAGGCUAGGGGAGCAAACGGG
rnacentral:rRNA from 1 species